rnacentral:sRNA from 1 species
GGAAAGGGUGUUGGCAGUGCUGGAGGCGGCGGCGGCGGCGGCGGUUCGAAAGUCAUCGAUGGUGGUGUACAGAAAAAGCAAGGGAGGACGAAGGGUGGCUUGAGGGUUCUUGGAUAAUACGCCCGUACUUACUUGCUUUCUAUCUUUUUUCAUUGUGCUGUGUUUUGUCGUUGAUAUUUUUGGCGAGUCAAUUCGAGUUUUGGAUGGUUUAUGUAUUCAUCUAUUGCCCUUUCCCUCGCUCGCUCGUGGUUUCCUUUCUUUUAUUCGUGGGUAUAAGCUCUCUAGAAUAGUCGAUACAAAGCGCAUGGAACUUUGUGUGCUGUUUAACUAAUACAUUGUCUUCGAGACCUUCCUCCCCCC